UUAUACACAAGGAAGGUAAAUAUUCUCGAUCGUAGUCGAAAUGUGGCGAAGCUGUUAAGGAAUUCUAACAACAAAUGGCCUUUCCUCACGGAAUAUCAGCAUCUGACGAUAAACUGCAACAAGUGUUGAAAUGAAUACUUAAAUCGCUGUCUUCAUCAUGGAUCAGAACAGAAAACAAACAGACGGACCGACUGAUUUGGUGGCUUUAGGAAAGGAACCAAUAGAGAACCGUACGAACCCAGACGGAGAGGAAGACAAGAGUUGCAUUUGUUUUAAGGCGCAACAUUUCUCCCGUCGUGCAUGCUACAGGCCCA